rnacentral:rRNA from 1 species
AACGACUCUCGGCAACGGAUAUCUCGGCCCUCGCAUCGAUGAAGAACGUAGCGAAAUGCGAUACUUGGUGUGAAUUGCAGAAUCCCGUGAACCAUCGAGUCUUUGAACGCAAGUUGCGCCCGAAGCCAUUAGGCCGAGGGCACGCCUGCCUGGGCGUCACACGUC